rnacentral:rRNA from 1 species
AUUGAACGCUGGCGGCAGGCUUAACACAUGCAAGUCGAGCGGGGUGAUGGUGCUUGCACUAUCACUUAGCGGCGGACGGGUGGGUAAUGCUUAGGAAUCUGCCUAUUAGUGGGGGACAACAUCUCGAAAGGGAUGCUAAUACCGCAUACGUCCUACGGGAGAAAGCAGGAGAUCACUUGUGACCUUGCGCUAAUAGAUGAGCCUAAGUCGGAUUAGCUAGUUGGUGGGGUAAAGGCCUACCAAGGCGACGAUCUGUAGCGGGUCUGAGAGGAUGAUCCGCCACACUGGGACUGAGACACGGCCCAGACUCCUACGGGAGGCAGCAGUGGGGAAUAUUGGACAAUGGGGGGAACCCUGAUCCAGCCAUGCCGCGUGUGUGAAGAAGGCCUUAUGGUUGUAAAGCACUUUAAGCGAGGAGGAGGCUUACCUAGUUAAUACCUGGGAUAAGUGGACGUUACUCGCAGAAUAAGCACCGGCUAACUCUGUGCCAGCAGCCGCCGUAA